GUUGGUGGGGUAACGGCCCACCAAGGCGACGAUGCGUAGCCGACCUGAGAGGGUGAUCGGCCACACUGGGACUGAGACACGGCCCAGACUCCUACGGGAGGCAGCAGUAGGGAAUCUUCCGCAAUGGACGCAAGUCUGACGGAGCAACGCCGCGUGAGUGAAGAAGGUUUUCGGAUCGUAAAACUCUGUUGUGAGGGAAGAACAAGUGCCAGAGUAACUGCUGGCACCUUGACGGUACCUCACCAGAAAGCCACGGCUAACUACGUGCCAGCAGCCGCGGUAAUACGUAGGUGGCAAGCG
rnacentral:rRNA from 1 species